rnacentral:rRNA from 1 species
UACGAACCGUCCAAACGUUACUCGGAAUCACUGGGCUUAAAGGGGUGCGUAGGCCGCGCGGAGGGUGGGAUGUGAAAUCCCCCGGCUCAACCGGGGAAUAGCGUCCCAAACCGCCGUGCUCGAGGGAGACAGAGGUGAGCGGAACUGAUGGUGGAGCGGUGAAAUGCGUUGAUAUCAUCAGGAACACCAGUGGCGAAAGCGGCUCACUGGGUCUUUCCUAACGCUGAGGCACGAAAGCUAGGGGAGCGAACGGGA